AUACUUACUUGGAUGAGGUUAAUGGCUGAUCAAGAAGACUUAUGGUCUAAGGUAGUGACCUCCGUUACACUUAAGAGGGAUGUUAUCCUAAGGUCUACUUAAGUGGCGAAGUCUAUGUAAUAAUUUAUGACAGUGGGGCCUAUUUUUAUGCAGCCCCUAU